ACGCUGGCGGCAGGCCUAACACAUGCAAGUCGAGCGGUAGAGAGAAGCUUGCUUCUCUUGAGAGCGGCGGACGGGUGAGUAAUGCCUAGGAAUCUGCCUGGUAGUGGGGGAUAACGUUCGGAAACGAACGCUAAUACCGCAUACGUCCUACGGGAGAAAGCAGGGGACCUUCGGGCCUUGCGCUAUCAGAUGAGCCUAGGUCGGAUUAGCUAGUUGGUGGGGUAAUGGCUCACCAAGGCGACGAUCCGUAACUGGUCUGAGAGGAUGAUCAGUCACACUGGAACUGAGACACGGUCCAGACUCCUACGGGAGGCAGCAGUGGGGAAUAUUGGACAAUGGGCGAAAGCCUGAUCCAGCCAUGCCGCGUGUGUGAAGAAGGUCUUCGGAUUGUAAAGCACUUUAAGUUGGGAGGAAGGGCAGUUGCCUAAUACGUAACUGUUUUGACGUUACCGACAGAAUAAGCACCGGCUAACUCUGUGCCAGCAGCCGCGGUAAUACAGAGGGUGCAAGCGUUAAUCGGAAUUACUGGGCGUAAAGCGCGCGUAGGUGGUUUGUUAAGUUGGAUGUGAAAUCCCCGGGCUCAACCUGGGAACUGCAUUCAAAACUGACUGACUAGAGUAUGGUAGAGGGUGGUGGAAUUUCCUGUGUAGCGGUGAAAUGCGUAGAUAUAGGAAGGAACACCAGUGGCGAAGGCGACCACCUGGACUGAUACUGACACUGAGGUGCGAAAGCGUGGGGAGCAAAC
rnacentral:rRNA from 1 species